GAUGAACGCUGACAGAAUGCUUAACACAUGCAAGUCAACCGGUGGCGGACGGGGGAGUAACGCGUAAAGAACUUGCCUCACAGUUAGGGACAACAUUGGGAAACGAAAGCUAAUAGCUGAGACUGUGAGAGAGCUUUGCGUGCCAUUAGCUAGUUGGAGAGGUAACGGCUCACCAAGGCGAUGAUGGGUAGCCGGCCUGGGAGGGUGAUCGGCCACAAGGGCACUCGGACGCCGCCCUUACUCCUUCUGGCGGCAGCAGUGGAGAAUAUUGGCCACCGGACCGAUGUCUGAUCCAGCCCUUCUGUUUGUACGACGCAGUUUUCGGAAUGUAAAGUGUUUUCUGUUGAGACGCGGUACCCGCAGAAGAAGUGACGGCUAAAUACGUGCCAGCAGCCGCGGUAAUAC
rnacentral:rRNA from 1 species